rnacentral:misc_RNA from 1 species
AAUUCUCAACUUCAAAAGUUUUUAUUAACUUAUUGAAGCUUGGAUGUGGGGGUUUGUUGGCGUCUUUAGAUGUUCAGCUCCCCUUAAAUGCAUUAGUGGAAUUCCCGUUUGGUUGGUCCAUCUUGGUGUGAUAAUUAUCUACGCUUUGCUUGGUUCAACUGUCAGGUGUGCUUAGGCUAGAUCCUGGUUGUGAUAUCGCAUUAAGUUGCUUUAUCUGAUUGUGGGAAAUUUAUCUGCUUUCUAACCGUCUGUUGUUUCAGACAAUUUAUUGACU